UGCUUGCCAAUAUUGAUGGCUCGAACGAAGGGUAUCUCCGGAAUCUUACUUUUAUGGUAUUUCAACUUGCAGCUCUUUUACUUCUCUCUUGGCGACACGUGUUUAUUCAGCUGACUUUCCACCUCCGUUUCCAUCACCAUUCUAACACUCCAUCAAACGGCCAUGGAGGCAAAAGCAACAGCAUAGUGUGAAAGUUUUAUGCAACUGGGCUUCUAUUUGCUGUGACAAUAGGGGCGUCAUUUAAAAGCUGCUGAAUCUUAUUCCAGAAUGGUUUAUUCCACCUAAUUGUGCCACGGGAACUAGCACUCGUGCGGAGGCUUUUCUCUAAUGAGUAACGCUCUUUCAUAUGUGACAGGUAUUGGUGUCAAGGGUGUUAGCAAAAAAGCUCUUUUGUGAAUGAGGGAAGUCCCUCUUUUGCUUGAGGUGGCGGGGCGCUGAGUUUGCUGGCUAUGGUUUCUUCUUAUUAAAACUGGGUGAUUUUGUAGGUUUGGUUGAUCAAUGGUAAAUGUCGUGCCAAAAGAAAAUGUAGGUAAAUAUUACUGUGGCUAUUAUUUUAUAGUGCUCUACACUUAUCAUGUCAAGAAAAUUUUUUAUAAUUAUGAUGAUAGAUUAAAUGAUGAGAUUGUUAUGAAUUUUACAUAUUUAUGGUUCUUUGGAUCGGAUCAACACUUAAUUGAAUGCAGGACGAGUUAGUGUAACAAUUCAAGGUCGGAUAACUCAUUGCAUAAUCUGCCGUUUUCGGAACUUCAAGUUGUAAUUAUUAAUGCAGCUCAAAUAAGACUAUAAUAAAGUGUCAAACUGGAUUAUUCAGCAAAUGUCAAAGUCAGGAAUGCAACAACAAGUGGAAACAAAACUAUCGUAAGACAACUAGCUGAAUUGUCCCUUAUGAAUUAACUUGAAAAGGUUCCUUCUUCUUUUUCGUAUAUUUUCAUUUUCUCUUUGCAUUCUUUGGGUCCAUAAUUCCUUCCUUACGUCCCUUACGAUCACAGUUUGAAGAAUAUCUAGCCAUUUUUGCAAGUAGUAGAAAUUGAGGAAAGUUGACAUAUAAUGGGCACUCACAUUUCUCGUCUUAAUAAACAUAGAGAUUUUAUUCCUGCUUGCCGUAUGAUAUACAAUUUGUUUCUCGGGGGAUAGACGCCAGAAAACUUGUUUAGGUAGGACAUUUUUGUUCUGAUGUAAUAGAGCACUUUGGUGUCUACAUAAAAUUACCUAAUAUGUUUCUAAAAUGUUUUGGCUCAAGGUCGGGGUCAGGCAAGUGUUCCUUUUGUUAGAGUGACCAGUCAUUAAUCAGGCUAAAAUUAAUAAGAUCAUCGUAAUUGUAACACCCCGUAUUUUCGGGCUAGAAUUUAGACCAUCGUUCCUACACGUAUAGAUCCAAACUAAGAAAUUCCUUGUUAAUAUAUGUGUGUUUAUCAGUCCUAAAGUGUAGGAAUACCUUCGAGUAUGAUUUGGGGUCACAAAAAUCCCCUAAAUCUAAGACACGUUGAAAGCAUUUCUAUCGAUUAAGUUUUAGGAGAUGUUUCAACUUGAGUCAACUUCCAGUGACCAUAACUCCCAAUAUAUAUAAAGUUAGAGGCCUACUAUAUAUCAAAUUAAAGGUAUUCAAAUUAGCUUUCCAACAAUACUAAUUUCGCCUUAAUCCAAUACCCGAGUGAAAAGUUAUGACAUUUUUCGUGAGAGGCAGUAAGGGUGUGCGAU